rnacentral:rRNA from 1 species
UACAGAGGUCUCAAGCGUUUGUUCGGAUUCAUUGGGCGUAAAGGGUGCGUAGGCGGCGCGGUAAGUCGGGUGUGAAAUCUUGGAGCUUAACUCCGAAACUGUAUUCGAUACUGCCGUGCUUGAGGACUGGAGAGGAGACUGGAAUUUACGGUGUAGCGGUGAAAUGCGUAGAUAUCGUAAGGAAGGACCAGUGGCGAAGGCGGGUCUCUGGACAGUUCCUGACGCUGAGGCACGAAGGCCAGGGGAGCAAACGGG